AUGGGCUUAGUCGCCUGGAUGCAUGGGGGUCUUAGUUCCCUGACCAGGGAUCAAACCCGUGUCCCCUGCAUCGAAAGGCAGAUUCUUAACCACUGGACCACCAGGGAAGUCCCAGAGAGACUGUUCUCAGGUUAUAAUUUUCACUUUGGCUUGAAUAAAGAUUUUCAUUUCUUUCUUAGAUCAACUGAUGAAGCUUUUCAUCAUAACGAUAAUGUCGGCAACCGCAAACUACUGGAGUCUGCGAAGUGCUGUGCACGUUACCCUGGAGGCCUGGCAGCAGGGUUGGGGGCUGUCAGCUGUUUCACAGGGACGAUCUCUCUCCCUUCCUGGAGGGGCAGCUGGCUACGAGGUGGGUCCUCCCUUAGGACAAGUCCAUCCCCCGACCAGGAUGCCAGGAAGAGCAGAAACGCCGCUUCCCCAGCUCUGCCCCCAGCUACUUCACCCACGGAGGGCAGCUCCAGCACUCCGGGUGUCGGGUGACGGUUCCCGGGUGGGCACCUUGUGUCAUGAGACGUGGCUGCUGCUCUGACGUUCGCAGACUCAGAGCAGCCACUGAGUUACCAGCUGUCGAAGGAGAAGCCCACAGCUCCUGAGAACUCGGGCCUGUCACGCUGUCUCCUGGAGACAACAGUGAGCGGAGAGAAAGUCAAUAAAAAUCACGUCCGA
rnacentral:lncRNA from 1 species